CAGCCGCCACGGUAAUACGAAGGGUGCAAGCGUUAAUCGGAAUUACUGGGCGUAAAGCGUGCGUAGGCGGUUUGUUGAGUCUGUUGUGAAAUCCCCGGGCUCAACCUGGGAAUGGCAAUGGAUACUGGCAAGCUAGAGUGUGUCAGAGGGUGGUGGAAUUCCCGGUGUAGCGGUGAAAUGCGUAGAGAUCGGGAGGAACAUCAGUGGCGAAGGCGGCCAUCUGGGACAACACUGACGCUGAGGCACGAAAGCGUGGGGAGCAAACAGGAUUAGAUACCCCCGUAGUCCCUGUCUCUUAUAC
rnacentral:rRNA from 1 species